AUUGAACGCUGGCGGCAGGCCUAACACAUGCAAGUCGAGCGAGUGGCGGACGGGUGAGUAAUGUCUGGGAAACUGCCUGAUGGCGGGGGAUAACUACUGGAACCGGUAGCUAAUACCGCAUACCAUCGGAUGUGCCCAGAUGGGAUUAGCUAGUAGGUGGGGUAAUGGCUCACCUAGGCGACGAUCCCUAGCUGGUCUGAGAGGAUGACCAGCCACACUGGAACUGCGACACGGUCCAGACUCCUACGGGAGGCAGCAGGGGGGAAUCUUGCACAAUGGGCGCAAGCCUGAUGCAGCCAUGCCGCGUGUAUGAAGAAGGCCUUCGGGUUGUAAAGUACUUUCAGCGGGGAGGCGUUACCCGCAGAAGAAGCACCGGCUAACUCCGUGCCAGCAGCCGCGGUAAUUC
rnacentral:rRNA from 1 species